AUAUUAGUCAAUGCUCGAAAGAGUGAACUAGCUAACUGAAAUCAUAUUUGUGUCAAAUGUGAUGUCGUAAGGGAAAAUUAUGAUAUUACCUUACUAAUAGUGUCGUCUAAAACUGGUGCCAGAAGACUCGGUAAGGCCAGAGACACGAAUGUUAAUCGUCUUAAUCAGGCGUAAAGGGUUUGUAGGCUGCUUUGAAAAUAUUAAUUUAACAUAGCAACAACUGACCGGCUGCUACCUUGCUAUCAAGCUUGAUGGCUGCUGGGCAUAAAGAUUAAAUUUAAUAUCAAUUAAAGCUAGAAUCUAAUAGAGGAUAUUUACGAAAUAAUGCUAAGUCGAGGGCUGAGAUCCUAAGACACUUAGUGGAGUACCAAUAGCGUAAGCAUUUAUCCAUUAAAGAUUGACGCUGAGAAACGAAGGUGAGGAUAGGAAAUAGGAUUAGAUACCCAGAUACCCCUCUCUGUCAACGAUGAAUGGUAGUUUGUUAGUCUCUUAUAGACUAGUGACGAAGUUAACACGUUAACCAUUCCGCCUUGUGAGUACGACUGCAAAGUUGAAAACAAAAAAAUUAGUCGGUCUCGGAGCAAACGAAGUGAAGUAUGUUAUUUAAU
rnacentral:rRNA from 1 species